rnacentral:misc_RNA from 1 species
GUUCGAGCGUCAUUAUAACCACUCACGCCUAGCGUGGUGUUGGGGCACGCGGUUCCGCGGCUCUCAAAUCCAGUGGCGGUGCCAGUGGGCUCUAAGCGUAGUAAUACUCCUCGCUAUAGGGUCUCCCCUGGUUGCCCGCCAGAACCCCCCUAAUUUUUCAGGUUGACCUCGGAUCAGGUAGGGAUACCCGCUGAACUUAA